GUUCUCAAGACUAAGCCAUGGCACGUCUAAGUACAAACUAAACUGAUGGUGAAACUGCAAAUGGCUCAUUACAACGGUUAUGAUGUACCCGGGCAGCUUCCGAUGGAUAUUUCCAGUAACACUAGAACUAAUACAUGCUCCUGUCGCUUGUAUUAGUUUCGCACAGAUCCGUCGCUGAGUCAUGGGUAAACAGUUGAUCGACUCGACGUCCCGGAACAGUUUCCGCCCCAUCAGCUUCGAUGGUUGGGUAUUGGCCUACCAUUGCAACAACGGGUAACGAGGAAUUAGGGUUUGAUUUCGGAGAGGGAGCCUGAGAAACGGCUACCACAUCUACGGAUGGCAGCAGGCGCGCAAAUUACCCAAUGCAGACACUGUGAGGUAGUGACGAGAAAUAAUAAAGCGGGACUUCUGUUUCGCUAUUAUAAUGAGGAAUAACCAAAGGUCAUUCCGAUUAGCAACUGAUGGGAAAGUCUGGUGCCAGCAGCCGCGGUAAUACCAGCGUCAGUAGCAUAUAUUAAAAUUGUYGCAGUUAAAACGUCCGUAGUCUGUACGUCGUCCCAAACUCACUGCAGUCUUCCGUKUUCUUCAUUGAAUGCGGUAGUUUCUGCAGUCACUCCCUUNAUCACAUUAGGUUGUUCAAGGUAGACCAAGUCUUCAUAUAG
rnacentral:rRNA from 1 species